rnacentral:rRNA from 1 species
UUGACCUCGGAUCAGGCAGGGAUACCCGCUGAACUUAAGCAUAUCAAUAAGCGGAGGAAAAGAAACCAACAGGGAUUGCCUCAGUAACGGCGAGUGAAGCGGCAACAGCUCAAAUUUGAAAUCUGGCUCUUUUAGGGUCCGAGUUGUAAUUUGUAGAGGAUGCUUCGGCGUCGGCUCCGGUCUAAGUUCCUUGGAACAGGACGUCAUAGAGGGUGAGAAUCCCGUAUGUGAUCGGUUGCCCUUGCCAUGUGAAGCUCCUUCGACGAGUCGAGUUGUUUGGGAUGCAGCUCUAAAUGGGAGGUAAAUUUCUUCUAAAGCUAAAUACUGGCCA